rnacentral:rRNA from 1 species
AUUACCCAAUCCUGACACAGGGAGGUAGUGACAAGAAAUAACAAUACGGGGCUUAAUGUCUUGUAAUUGGAAUGAUAGGAAUUUAAACCUCUUCCAGAGUAUCAAUUGGAGGGCAAGUCUGAUGCCAGCAGCCGCGGUAAUUCCAGCCCCAAUAGCGUAUAUUAAAAUUGUUGCAGUUAAAAAGCUCGUAGUUGAAUUUCCGCUGCAUCGUCGCAUCUCUUGCUGAGUGCUUCGUUUCGGCUUAUUUCGGAUUGAUUUUUUCUUUCCGGAUGAUUACUUUGAGAAAAUUAGAGUGCUCAAAGCAGGCUUUUGCCUUGAAUAGUUUAGCAUGGAAUAAUAAAGUAGGACUUUGGUUCUAUUUUGUUGGUUUUAGGUACCAAAGUAAUGGUUAAUAGGAACAGUUGGGGGCAUUCGUAUUUAA